ensembl:snRNA U6 U6 spliceosomal RNA
GUGCUUGUGUCAGAAGUACAUAUACUAAAACUGGAAUGACACAGAGAAGGUUAGCUUGGCCCCUACACAAGGAUGGCAUGCAAAUUCAUGAAGCAUUCCACAUUUUA